GACAGAGGGUGCAAACGUUGUUCGGAAUUACUGGGCGUAAAGCGCGUGUAGGCUGCUUCGCAAGUCGGAUGUGAAAGCCCUGGGCUCAACCUAGGAAGUGCAUUCGAAACUGCGAAGCUCGAGUCCUGGAGAGGAAGGCGGAAUUCUCGGUGUAGAGGUGAAAUUCGUAGAUAUCGAGAGGAACGCCGGUGGCGAAGGCGGCCUUCUGGACAGUGACUGACGCUGAGACGCGAAAGCGUGGGGAGCAAACAGG
rnacentral:rRNA from 1 species